AGAUCCGCCGAAAGCCUAAGGGUUCCUGAGGAAGGUUCGUCCGCUCAGGGUAAGUCGGGACCUAAGGCGAGGCCGAUAGGCGUAGUCGAAGGACAACAGGUCGAAAUUCCUGUACCACCGUAAUCCGCUAUGAGCGAUGGGGUGACGCAGUAGGGUAGUGACGCGGACUGAUGGAUGUCCGUCUAAGCAGUGAGGCUGAUGUGUAGGCAAAUCCGCACAUCGUAAGGCUGGGCUGUGAUGGGGAGCGAAAAUUA
rnacentral:rRNA from 1 species